rnacentral:lncRNA from 1 species
UCCUCAACACUUGGCAUUGCCUUCCCCUCGAGGGAACGCUGGCAUCCUGCUCCCAUCAGAGCCUCGACAAUCGCACAGUCUACACACACUUGGACAUCAGCAUCACAAAUGAUCAUGUGAGUAAGCAGAGAAAAAAGCUGCAGACUGUAGAAGCUCAGAUGUGUUUAGGUGAUGAAAUCUUCCCCAUAGGCCUUGUGAGAAAGCAUUUCAUCUUGAGUAUCAAGAGCUGACUUGGGUGUGGAGAAACCACAGCAUUAUGGGAGGAAGCUGCAAAGUUUGAG